CUCUCUCUCUCCCUUCCUCUCCAUCUCUCUCUACCUCCCUCUCUCCCCAUCUCCAUCUCUCCCUCCCUCCCUCCCUCCCCAUCUCCAUCUCUCUCUCUCUACCUCCGCACACACAUAUACGACUAAUCAAUAUGAUACCUGUUUGUUUUCUGUUGAAUUAUUUUUUGCUGCAGUUUCCAAAAAGUCUACCGAGUGUCCUGUUAUUUCAAAGACUUCUGGAUACAUAUUCGACAAGCUAUUAAUUG
rnacentral:lncRNA from 1 species